CGAGCUGCCCGAGCCGCUGCUGCUGCGCGUGCUGGCCGCACUGCCGGCCGCCGAGCUGGUGCGGGCCUGCCGCCUGGUGUGCCUGCGCUGGAAGGAGCUGGUGGACGGCGCCCCGCUGUGGCUGCUCAAGUGCCAGCAGGAGGGGCUGGUGCCCGAGGGCGGCGCGGAGGAGGAGCGCGACCACUGGCAGCAGUUCUACUUCCUGAGCAAGCGGCGCCGCAACCUUCUGCGUAACCCGUGUGGGGAAGAGGACUUGGAAGGCUGGUGUGACGUGGAGCACGGUGGGGACGGCUGGAGGGUGGAGGAGCUGCCUGGAGACAGUGGGGUGGAAUUCACCCACGAUGAGAGUGUCAAGAAGUACUUCGCCUCCUCCUUUGAGUAAGGAGAAGAGGGUGGAGGAGGUGGGAAGCGGGGAGCGUUCGCUCUGUCCUAACUCCUGUUCUCCCAGGUGGUGUCGCAAAGCACAGGUCAUUGACCUGCAGGCUGAGGGCUACUGGGAGGAGCUGCUGGACACAACUCAGCCGGCCAUCGUGGUGAAGGACUGGUGAGAGGGCCCUGGGGUGGCAUGGGGCUGGGAGGAGCAGGGUAAGGCAGAGGGGAGAGCCAGCUGGGGAACCCCCCGCCCGGGGGUGCUGCCUCCCCACUGCAGGGGUUGAGGCCACGUGGACCACGGGUCUGCAAAGGUUGACAGCUUCCGAGUUUGCAGGAGAACCUGGAAACCCACCUCCCCUCCUGAGUUUUAAAUGUUGGCAAAUAUAUGCACAUAUAUAUGUUUUUAUAUACGUAAUGUAUAUA
rnacentral:sRNA from 1 species